UGUGUAGGCGGCCAUGUUAGUCUGGUGUGAAAUCUUCACCGCUCACCGGGAAGAAGUCACUGGAUACUGCAUGGCUCGAGUAUGGUAGAGGCGAGCGGAAUUCCAGGUGUAGCGGUGGAAUGUGUAGAUAUCUGGAAGAACACCGGUGGCGAAGGCGGCUCGCUGGGCCAUCACUGAGCUGAGACACGAAGCGUGGGAGCAAACG
rnacentral:rRNA from 1 species